UACGGGGGGGGCAAGCGUUGUUCGGAAUUACUGGGCGUAAAGGCUCGUAGGCGGCCAACUAAGUCAGACGUGAAAUCCCCAGGCUUAACCUGGGAACUGCGUCUGAUACUGGAUGGCUUGAAUUCGGGAGAGGGAUGCAGAAUUCCAGGUGUAGCGGUGAAAUGCGUAGAUAUCUGGAGGAAUACCGGUGGCGAAGGCGGCAUCCUGGACCGACAUUGACGCUGAUGAGCGAAAGCCAGGGAGCAAACGGG
rnacentral:rRNA from 1 species